CACGAUUUCCGAUCUGAAGUCGCACGAUUUCUGAUCUGAAGUUUGAUUUUUGAAAUUGUGCCAAGAUCUGAAGUUUGAUUUUUGAAUUUGUGCCAAAAAUGUUCAGUGCUCGACGGUUCACAUUGCUCGACACUCAAUGCUCGACACUUAAUGUCGAGCAAUAGUUCAAUUUGAACUAUUGCUCGUCUUGCUCGACAUUGAACUAUUGCUCGACAUGCUCGACAGUUCUUAAUUGCUCGACACUCGAUGUUCGAGGCGUCGAGCAAUAGUUCAAAUUGAACUAUUGCUCGACAUGCUCGAUGCUCGACAGUUCAAUGCUCGACGCUUCAGUGUCGAGCAAUGCGAGCAAUGCGCGA
rnacentral:lncRNA from 1 species